rnacentral:lncRNA from 1 species
AUUUUUUAAUGCAGAGUAAUACUCCAUUGUGUAUAAAUGCCACAUUUUUUUUUUAUCCAUUCGUCUAUUGAAGGGCAUCUAGGUUGGUUCCACAGUCUUGCUAUUGUGAAUUGUGCUGCUAUGAACAUCGAUGUAGCAGUGUCCCUGUAGCAUGCUCUUUUUAGGUCUUUAGGGAAUAGACCUAGAAGGGGAAUAGCUGGGUCAAAUGGUGGCUCCAUUCCCAGCUUUCCAAGAAAUCUCCAUACUGCUUUCCAAAUUGGCUGCACCAAUUUGCAGUCCCACCAGCAAUGUAGAAGAGUACCCUUUUCCCCACAUCCUCGCCAGCACUUGUUGUUGUUUGACUUCAUAAUGGCUGCCAAUCUAACUGGAGUGAGAUGGUAUCUUAGGGUGGUUUUGAUUUGCAUUUCUCUGACUGCUAGAGAUGGUGAGCAUUUUUUCAUGUACUUGUUGAUUGAUUGUUCAUAACCCACUUGAAUCAAAGUGUGUAAUAUGAUAUAUCAAGAACUAUGUAAUGUUUUGAACAACCAACAAUAAAAAUUUUUUAAAAAAAGAAUAUAGUAAAAAGUAAAAAAAAAAAAAGAAUGAAAUUUGGCAUUUUCCAGUAAAUGAAUGGAAAUGAAGAAUAUCAUGCUAAGUGAAAUAAGCCAGUCCCAACAACCCAAAGGCUGAAUGAUUUCUCUGACACAUGGAUGCUAACCCACAACAAGGUAGGGUAGGGAGGGAAAGAACAGAAGUCCAUUACAUUAGAUAAAGGGGGAUAAGCGGAAGGGAGGGGUAUGGGAAUAGAAAAGACAGUAGAAUGAAUUGGACAUAUUGUUCCUUUGCUCAUAUAUGAAUACACAGCAGUGUAACUACAUAUUAUGUACAAUCACAAGAAUGGGAUCCUAAUUGGAAUGGAUUUUACUCCAUGUAUGUAUAAUAUGUCAAAAUACACUCUACAGUCUGCAUGUUUAAAAAUAACAAAUAAAAACAUUAGCCAGGAUUUUUAAAAAGACAACAAAUGUCACUUUAUACUGGUGAAGGUAAUUAUCCAACACCAGGACAUGAUGAUUGUAAAUAUUUAUGCCCUAAACAAUGGUGCAUCUACAUAGAGAAAACACUCUCUUCUCAACAUUAAAAAUCAAAUAAACCAAAAUACAAUAAUACUGGGUGACUUCAACACACCUCUCUCACCACCAGAUAGAUCAUCCAGACAUAAACUAAGAUGCUUCAGAUCUAAAAGUACUGUUAACCAAAUGGACCAAACAGACAUCUAUAGA